rnacentral:rRNA from 1 species
GACGUAGGGCGCGAGCGUUGUCCGGAUUUAUUGGGCGUAAAGAGCUCGUAGGCGGCUUGUCGCGUCGUCCGUGAAAACCUGCAGCUCAACUGCAGGCUUGCGGUCGAUACGGGCAGGCUAGAGUUCGGUAGGGGAGACUGGAAUUCCUGGUGUGAGCGGUGAAAUGCGCAGAUAUCAGGAGGACGACCACUAUGAAGGCAGCUCGCUGGGACGUUACUGACGCUGAGACGCGAAAGCGUGGGGAGCAAACAGG